CACGAACGCUGGCGGCAGGCUUAACACAUGCAAGUCGAGCGCCCCGCAAGGGGAGCGGCAGACGGGUGAGUAACGCGUGGGAAUCUACCCAUCUCUACGGAAUAACGCAUGGAAACGUGUGCUAAUACCGUAUACGUCCUUCGGGAGAAAGAUUUAUCGGAGAUGGAUGAGCCCGCGUUGGAUUAGCUAGUUGGUGGGGUAAAGGCCUACCAAGGCGACGAUCCAUAGCUGGUCUGAGAGGAUGAUCAGCCACACUGGGACUGAGACACGGCCCAGACUCCUACGGGAGGCAGCAGUGGGGAAUAUUGGACAAUGGGCGCAAGCCUGAUCCAGCCAUGCCGCGUGAGUGAUGAAGGCCCUAGGGUUGUAAAGCUCCUUCACCGGUGAAGAUAAUGACGGUAACCGGAGAAGAAGCCCCGGCUAACUUCGUGCCAGCAGCCGCCGCGGUAA
rnacentral:rRNA from 1 species